UACGUAGGGGGCUAGCGUUGUCCGGAAUCAUUGGGCGUAAAGCGCGUGUAGGCGGUCCGGUAAGUCCGCUGUGAAAGUCGAGGGCUCAACCCUCGAAUGCCGGUGGAUACUGUCGGGCUUGAGUACGGGAGAGGCGAGUGGAAUUCCUAGUGUAGAGGUGAAAUUCGUAGAUAUUAGGAAGAACACCAGUGGCGAAGGCGGCUCACUGGCCCGGUACUGACGCUGAGGCGCGAAAGCGUGGGGAGCAAACAGG
rnacentral:rRNA from 1 species